rnacentral:snRNA from 1 species
GAUCAAAGUGUAGUAUCUGUUCUUAUCAGCUUAAUAUCUGAUACGACUUCUACCAGGAGUCAAGAUAUUAAACUUAUUUUUGGUAUGAGGUGGAGAGACUGAGGCUUGCCUCACCUCCACCAAGGGUCGGC